UACGUAGGGGGCUAGCGUUGUCCGGAAUCAUUGGGCGUAAAGAGCGUGUAGGCGGCCAGAUAAGUCCGCUGUGAAAUCUCGAGGCUCAACUUCGAGCUGUCGGUGAAAACUAUCUGGCUAGAGUCCGGAAGAGGAGAAUGGAAUUCCUGGUGUAGCGGUGAAAUGCGCAGAUAUCAGGAAGAACACCCGUGGCGAAGGCGGUUCUCUGGGACGGUACUGACGCUGAGACGCGAAAGCGUGGGGAGCGAACAGG
rnacentral:rRNA from 1 species